UUUUCUGUCCUCCAACCAGACCAUAUCACAUCAGUCUGGUCCUGGACAGGAGGC
ensembl:miRNA